CUGGGAUUCGUUCAAACAGUUUGGAAAUGAGCAGACUUUUCUCUUGAAUCAAACCCAAUAUUCUUUUUUAGAUUUGGAAAAAGUCUCCAAAUUUCUCUUCCAGUACCUAUGGGGCAUGUUAGAAACAUUAGUAGCAUUUAUUAGGGGGAACCUUUCCCAUUAGCUAAAGCGAGGGCUAGUGUUGACAGCCAAUAUUCAGUGAACCACAGGGGCUUGCUGGUGAAGGUCAGAGGCUGUCUGCCCACCUGGCAGUGGCUGGCAUUGUUAUAUGCUAAAUCAGGAUUAUAUUUCUGACACUUGGCUAAAGGAUCCUGUAAGAGCUGCUCUGUUUAGAAUAAUAAUAAAAGCAAUGAAGAUUCUGGAACAAUGAGUACCUUCUCUGUGCCAGAUUAUCAUUCCCUUCCUUUCCUUUGCUUUAUUCUUCCACAUCUACGAAUGAGAGUAAUCUGCUGUGGCUGCGAGGAGACAGAGAGUGAGAUAAUGAGAGUCUCAAAGCCUUCUCUGGGUCAUAAGGAUUCAUAAAGUGAUUUGAAAAAUACUGUUGGAAACACUCUCCCCACUUCCAAAAGAAGUCUGUCCUUCUGUCUGUCACUGAAAAAGCGCUGCAAAUUAUGGCUUGUGACUACAGGUAAAAAGCCCUGCAAAUUAUGACUUAACAAACAUGUGGAGGAUUAUUUAUUGCAAUAGCAAUGUCUCAAAGAAAUACAUCAAGACAGUUUGGAAUGUAGUGGUAGUUCAGAAAAAUAAAGAAUCCAGAUAUUCUCAAUGUUCCUGUC
rnacentral:lncRNA from 10 species